GACGUAGGGCGCGAGCGUUGUCCGGAUUUAUUGGGCGUAAAGAGCUCGUAGGCGGCUUGUUGCGUCGACCGUGAAAACCCGGGGCUCAACUUCGGGCUUGCGGUCGAUACGGGCGGGCUAGAGUUCGGUAGGGGAGACUGGAAUUCCUGGUGUAGCGGUGAAAUGCGCAGAUAUCAGGAGGAACACCGGUGGCGAAGGCGGGUCUCUGGGCCGAUACUGACGCUGAGGAGCGAAAGCGUGGGGGGCGAACAGG
rnacentral:rRNA from 1 species